GUUUCACCACGAUCUCUUGACAAACACCGCUGUAGCUCUGUCACCUUCCACCUCAGAUGAGGAAGGUCGAUUUCACCUCAGAUGAGGAAGGUAACCUUCCACCUCAGAUGAGGAAGGUCGAUUCCCCCUCAGAUGAGGAAGGUUGAUUCCACCUCAGAUGAGGAAGGUCGAUUUCACCUCAGAUGAGGAAGGUCACCUUCCAUCUCAGAUGAGGAAGGUCGAUUCCCCCUCAGAUGAGGAAGGUUGAUUCCACCUCAGAUGAGGAAGGUCGAUUCCACCUCAGAUGAGGAAGGUCGAUCCCACCUCAGAUGAGGAAGGUCACCUUCCAUCUCAGAUGAGGAAGGUCGAUUCCCCCUCAGAUGAGGAAGGUCGAUUCCACCUCAGAUGAGGAAGGUCACCUUCCACCUCAGAUGAGGAAGCUCACCUUCCACCUCAGAUGAGGAAGGUCACCUUCCACCUCAGAUGAGGAAGGUCGAUUCCACCUCAGAUGAGGAAGGUUGAUUCCACCUCAGAUGAGGAAGGUCUAAUUGGAAAUGACCUUUAAACGUCAAGCGGUUUGGGAUUAAAUCCUGACCACAGUCUCUGUUCCAACGACCAGCUGCCGCUGAGAACGAAGCAGUCUAUUGGGCAUGUAGUAAUUCUGUGAAAUGCUAGUGUAGUGUAGAGAGUUAAACACAUUUCCACUCAACAGGCACUGCAGUUGAGCUCAGAGAUCAUAAGACCGGGCUAGUGGAAAGGCACAAUAGUCGAACCCAGAGAGACACAGAUCUCUAGUAGAAAGGCACUGCGGUAGAAAGGCUUUACAGUCGGUUGAAGCUCAGCGGAGUGUGAUGCUGCUAGCUUAGCAUAAAGCUAACAGGGUGUUUCGGUAAGCUUAGCAUAAAGCUAACAGGGUGUUUCGGUAAGCUUAGCACGUAGCAUAUGCUAGUUUAGCAGUUAGCUUAGCACGUAGCAUAUGCUAGUUUAGCAGUUAGCUUAGCGUACGUA